AUGCAUGCAAGUUGAGCGAAGCUUUUUGGUAGUUUACUACUAGAAAUGACUGAGCGGCGAACGGGUGAGUAACGCGUGAGCAAUCUACCUUAGUUACUGGGAUAGCCCGAGGAAACUCGGAUUAAUACCGGAUAUUCUUAUUUUUUCACAUGAAGUUUUAAGGAAAGGUCAGCCGAACUAAGAUGAGCUCGCGUUCUAUCAGCUAGUUGGUGGGGUAAAAGCCUACCAAGGCUACGACGGAUAGCUGGUCUGAGAGGACGAUCAGCCACACUGGGACUGAGACACGGCCCAGACUCCUACGGGAGGCUGCAGCAGGGAAUAUUGUGCAAUGAGCGAAAGCUUGACACAGCGACACCGCGUGUGGGAUGACGGUUCUAGGAUUGUAAACCACUUUCAGGAGGGAAGAAAAUGACGGUACCUCCACAAGAAGACCCGGCCAACUAUGUGCCAGCAGCCGCGGUAAUACAUAGGGGUCAAGCGUUGUCCGGAUUUAUUGGGCGUAAAGAGCUCGUAGGCGGUUCAACAAGUCGGUCGUAAAAGUUUAGGGCUCAACCCUAAAAUGUCGAUCGAUACUGUUGUGACUAGGAUACGGUAGAGGUGAAUGGAAUUCCGAGUGUAGCGGUGAAAUGCGUAGAUAUUCGGAGGAACACCAAUUGCGAAGGCAGUUCACUGGACCGUGAUCGACGCUGAGGAGCGAAAGCUAGGGGAGCAAACAGGAUUAGAUACCCUGGUAGUCCUAGCUGUAAACGAUGGAUACUAGAUGUAGGAACUGGAUUGACGGUUUCUGUAUCGUAGCUAACGCGUUAAGUAUCCCGCCUGGGGAGUACGGUCGCAAGACUAAAACUCAAAGGAAUUGACGGGACCCCGCACAAGCGGCGGAGCAUGCGGCUUAAUUCGAUGAUACCCGUAGAACCUUACCUGGACUUGACAUAUAGGGAAAACUGGAGAAAUCCAGUGUGCGUAAGCG
rnacentral:rRNA from 1 species